rnacentral:rRNA from 1 species
CCUACGGGGGGCUGCAGUGGGGAAUAUUGGACAAUGGGCGAAAGCCUGAUCCAGCCAUGCCGCGUGUGUGAAGAAGGCCUUCGGGUUGUAAAGCACUUUCAGUGGGGAAGAAAGCCUUGGGGCUAAUACCCUCGAGGAAGGACAUCACCCACAGAAGAAGCACCGGCUAACUCCGUGCCAGCAGCCGCGGUAAUACGGAGGGUGCGAGCGUUAAUCGGAAUUACUGGGCGUAAAGCGCGCGUAGGCGGUCUGAUAAGCCGGUUGUGAAAGCCCCGGGCUCAACCUGGGAACGGCAUCCGGAACUGUCAGGCUAGAGUGCAGGAGAGGAAGGUAGAAUUCCGGUGUAGCGGUGAAAUGCGUAGAGAUCGGGAGGAAUACCAGUGGCGAAGGCGGCCUUCUGGACUGACACUGACGCUGAGGUGCGAAAGCGUGGGUAGCAAACAGGAUUAGAUACCCCAGUAGUC